rnacentral:lncRNA from 1 species
AUCCCUCUGAUGGGGUCCUCAAGAAGGGACAGAUUUUGGUGGGUGGGCCAGAGAACACAGAGUGGCUACAAUACAGGGAAAACCUCCUUAUCAACUUAGAUCCUAGAACAAGUGGCGUGCAAGAAGCUCAUGACCUCUUCAUUACUUUACUAGAGAUGACCUGGAUAAUGAUGCAGAGUUGUUGGCCCUGUUUGAGGUAUCCAUACAGAGGCUUUGACCUUCCUGGAGCUUCUUGUGUCCUCACCUCAUAUGAGAAGAAGAAAUAUGGUGGAUGGUGAUGCCCAGAGCUUCUGGAAGGUGAGAACACAGGGAGGAGAAGAAGAAGGGAAAUGUUCAAGGCAGAGAAGAAUGAAGAAAUGAGGGUGAAGAGCUCCGAGGGUGAAGGAAGCAAGGAGAAGGGAGGCUGUUGGAAGCAUAGCAGGACUGAAGGAGGCAGAGUUUGGAAAGACUGACGUGUGGGAGAAGGACUUGAUUUAUUGUUUGAGCCCAGACGGUAGAGCUGUAAGAUCACUGAGCUAAAUCGGAGCUUGAUAUAAGGAAAACUCCCAAAGAAUUAGAACUUUUCCAAGAAAGAGAGUGAUAAAGAGCAGGGAAACUAAGUCACAGGAAGAAGAACAUUUCUCCAGUGCAAGUUGGGGGAUGAGUUGAUUAGAGUGAGUUUGAAAAUAUUGAUUAACAAUAACUCAAAAAUAGCAAUGAAUAAAUAAUGAUAACUAGCAAUAACUUAACA